GUGAAUCAUCGAAUCUUUGAACGCACCUUGUGCCCUUUGGACAUCCAAGGGGCAUGCCUGUUUGAGUGUCUUGAAGCCCUCAAGCCAGCCCAGCUUUGUUUUGAGGUGGUGGUGGUUUGGACUUGGAUGCUUUUGCUGGACUUGUUAAACAAGGGUCAGCUCAUCCAAAAUGCAUUUGCCGCUGGUCCGUGAACUUGGUGUGAUUAAAUCAUCACUCGCCAGGUGUAAUGGACUUUGAAAAGCCGCUCUGUGGACGCAAGUGAUUUGACCUCAAAUCAGGUAGGAUUACCCGCUGAACUUAAGCAUAUCAAUAAGCGGAGGA
rnacentral:misc_RNA from 1 species